rnacentral:rRNA from 1 species
ACCUGCGGAAGGAUCAUUGUCGAA